CUGGCUUCGCGGCCGGCUGAAAUAUUUUGUUCACCCAUGUCUUUUGCGCACUUGUUGUUUCCUGGGCGGGUUCGCCCGCCACCAGGACGGAACCAUAAACCUUUUUUUUAUGCAGUUACCAUGGCAGCGUCAGUAAAAACAAUGUAAUUAAUUACAACUUUCAACAACGGAUCUCUUGGUUCUGGCAUCGAUGAAGAACGCAGCGAAAGGCGAUACGUAGUGUGAAUUGCAGAAUUCAGUGAAUCAUCGAAUCUUUGAACGCACAUUGCGCCCUUUGGUAUUCCAAAGGGCAUGCCUGUUCGAGCGUCAUUUGUACCUUCAAGCUUUGCUUGGUGUUGGGCGUGGUUGUCUCCCUCUUUCUGGGAGACUCGCCUUAAAACGAUUGGCAGCCGGCCUACUGGUUUCGGAGCGCAGCACAUAGGUUGCGCUUUGUAUCAGGAGAAAAGGACGGUAAUCCAUCAAGACUCUACAUUUUUCACUUUUGACCUCGGAUCAGGUAGGGAUACCCGCUGGACUUAAGCAUAUCAAUAAGCGGAGG
rnacentral:rRNA from 1 species